rnacentral:rRNA from 1 species
UACGGAGGGUGCGAGCGUUGUCCGGAAUCACUGGGCGUAAAGGGCGCGUAGGCGGCUCAUGAAGGCUGUGGUGAAAGUCCGGGGCUCAACCUCGGAUCGGCCGUGGCGACUCGUGGGCUGGAGCACUGUAGAGGCGGGUGGGAAUUCCGGGGUGUAGCGGUGGAAUGCGUAGAGAUCCGGAAGAACACCAGUGGCGAAGGCGGCCCGCUGGGCAGUGGCUGACGCUGAAGCGCGACAGCGUGGGGAGCAAACAGG